ACAACCUCCUUGGGCACCCUGCUCCAGUGCGUCACCACCCUCGGGGUGAAAAACUUCUUCCUCCUAAUAUCUAACCCAAACCUCCCCUGCCUCAGUUGAAAACCAUUCCCCCUUGUCCUAUCGCUACCCACCCUCGUAAGCAGCCGUUCCCCGUCCUGUUUAUACGCUCCCUUCAGGUACUGGAAGGCCACAGUGAGGUCCCCCCGGAGCCUUCUCUCCUGCGAGCUCAACAGGCCCAGUUCCCUCAACCUUUCUUCAUAGGAGAGGUGCUCCAGCCCUCUGCUCAUCCUAGUGGUCCUGCUCUGGACCCGUUCCACGAUCGCUUCUUGUGCUGGGGGCCCCAGGCCUGGGCGCAGUACUGCGGAUGGGGCCUCGCAAGAGCCGAGUAGAGGGGGACAAUCACCUCCCUCUCCCUGCUGGCCACCCCUUUCUUAGUGCAGCCCAGAGCACCGUUGGCCUUCCGGGCUGCAGGCGCGCACUGCUGGCUCACGUCCAGCUUCUCGUCCACCAGGACCCCCGGGUCCUUCUCCGCAGGGCUGCUCUCAAGGAGCUCUUCCCCCACUCUGAAGCGGGCAUUCUUUUCUUAUGGCGCUGACGCAUGGGGGAUCGCUCCGCCCAACUGCGCGCAAAAGAGCUUCAGCUGAUGCGUGUCUCUUGUGUCGUGCAUGUCAAGGUUUUCCCAGACGGCACGCACGUACUCAGUACUUUCCCUGACAUCACUAACGUAGGGUUCUGCGUCCUUGCACGUGCUCGGUCUUUCUGUGGUGGCGGUCCUAAUCGGUGCCUCCGACCUUCGAUGGUCUUCCACGAUCGCUCUCCUCCGCAUUGCUGGGUGGUUGAAAUCCUCCUUCCGGAGGAGAGCUUGGAGCAUGACGGCCCUUGUAGCUGAAGCCAGGCGGCCUCAUCAGCGGGCCGGGGUAGCGCUCUUCACCUCUGUCAGUACGGCGGUGGACGCACCGGCGAGGGCCGAGACCUGUGCCCCUUCGGGGGAAUCCCCGGGGGCGUCUGGUGCAUCCACUCGGGCAGAUAUGGCAAGAAAGCGAAAAUCUACCUGAUGGCGCUGGAAGGGCGGCACUGCCCGCGGCCGGCCUCCCUUUGCUAUUUGCUUCGUUUCUUCUUCGCUUCAGCACGCGGGGCAGACAUCAGGAAUGCAAAUGACUGAUAAAGCAAGCAUCAGCCGUUUCCAACGUUAGAAAUGUUGUUAGAAAGAAAGGCUUCAGGAAGCGGUGGCGCAUUCUCCCGUGGGCAGCGGUGAGGACAAAGGAGUGACAAGCAAGUAUACAUAAAGGUACAUUUUAUUAACGACUUACUCCUAUCGCUGGCAUCCAACAGUAAAAUGGGCAAAAGCCCAACCCGAGGCACGAGGCAGGGAAAUGGAAUCAAAGGGAAACCGGCAGAUGGUCGCUCUCUCUUCCCCUCCCCUUCCGUUCCAGGAAAGGAAACCAGGCCUUCCAGGCUUUGCUGUUUCACUCCACGAUGAGAGGGGUUGUGUAGAGGGAAUGCCGGAUUCCAAACGUGGAUGCAGGCGCCUGGGGCUUGAUCAGCGUCACCUGGAAGGGCGAAAAGGAAAGGCAGGUCAGCGAGGGCCCUUCUCUCCUCUGCUGCCCUCGCUCCCUGCUGUCCCGCACCCCUUCCGAUCCCAGACAGUCCCUGGUGCCUCUCCGGGCAGGGCUGAACGCCAGCGCAAAGCCGGUGCAGCUCCCUGCUGGAGCAGAGCUGGCUCGGGGAGGUGGGCUUACGGGCACCUCCUGUCUCGGAGCGGGCCGGGUGUGCAGCUGGGAGCUCGCAGCUAACUCUCUCUCCUAUGCUGGGGGCAUGCUGCUUGGAGCCCUUCUGAGCUGCGUCCCCCAGAAGAGCUUGGGAAGGACCAGCGCGUCCCAUUGAAGGGAAAAGGAGCAGAGGGAGGAAAAGCUGCGUGCUGUGCUGUCCCUCCCUCCCUCCCUCUGCUCGCAGGUGGCACGAGGGCAGGGGGCAGGCCUGCUGUCCUGCACUUGGUCCCUGCGGCCAGGAGCUCUUGGGCUGGAGGAAGCCUCAGGGGAAGGGGGAGAGGCGUGAAGGCCGCGCUUGUGAAACAGAGGGGAAGAGCUGAGCAGCUGCCUUACCCGGCCUACGCUGUAGUCUGCCGGCCCGGGCUUCGCUGCUUUGCCCUCUCCAGCUUUUGGUCGGGCUGCCAUCGUGUACGCGGGCGCCCUGGUCUUGUAGGCAUCCACAGGCACUUUGGGGAGCGCCGCAGGACCCGGAGUCUGCAAGAGAGUCACGACCAUACAGGGCUGGGGUCACAUUCAAGGCUCUCUCUUUCCCCGGCAGUCUGCGUUAAGCAAAGUUGCAGCAGGCUUGGAAGCCCCUGUGGCACAGGGGGAGCAGCCCAGGUUCGGAUGCUAACGCGGAAAAGAGGAGCGGCAGAGCUCACCUUGGCAAGGUCUUCGUCAAACCGACCUCGCUGGCUCCUUCCCCUCACAGAGUAGCAGGGGCUGGCCGAUGUGUAGACUGUGUUGGGCCCCAUCAGCCUGGGCAGCGUGUAGGUGCCAGGACCUGCAGGAGGAGCAGCAGAGAGCGUGUGCGCGAGGGGCUGGAGGAGACGGAAGCAGCAGAGAGGGGCAGCCUGCCCAGCCUGCUGGUGGGAGCAGGAGGGAGGUCUCGCCCCUCUGCCAGUUCCUCCCUCUACUCUGGCACUGGGCCAGCGCCAGCAGCUCCGAGCCUGAGCAGCCGCAGCCGCUGCGGGCCCAGAGGUGUUGGUCGUGCAAGAAAGCUUGCGGCCCCAGCGCCGCGUCCUGCCGCGCAGGCUGUGCAGUAGGCCCGCUGCUGGUGCUGAGCAGCAGCCCGUCCCUGCGGGAUGCUCAGGCUGAAGGGUCUGCCUUUGCCAGGGUCAGCGUACCUGGAGGGUGGUCUGUCCGGAGGGGCUCCCGCCGGAAGGCCAUGGACUGCACCGGUGGGCACUUGAAGACGUGCCUGUUGGCUGCCUCGGUGCGGUAGUCACCUGGGGCGGAAGAGAAGAGGAAGAAAGCCGUGAAGCGCCGGUCUUCUUCUUCUGCAACCGCACAGGCACUGUCCCGAGGAAAGGGUCUUCUCAAGAGCUGCAGAAUUGCCGCUGGGGGACACAGGCAGCACGCGGGGACGCUCUUCUGUGCCCCGCCGCUAUGCCCUGCCUUGCUGUCCCUCCCGUCAGCCCCCUGCCGCUUGUUCUUUUUGGACACGGGGUCCUUGUGCCCUCGGCCCGUGGCCCUGGGCAGCUGUCCUUCUCCGAGGGCGUUUAUCGCUGCUCAGAGCGGUUUGCGUUCUCUCAAAAAAGACCUACAGCUCCAUCAGGGCGCGAGCUGGCCCCGGGCAAACGCGCCGCCCGCUCGUCUUGUCUGGGUGAAGUGCUGCACAAGUGGUACUCACUUGGUCCGGGAGUGACGGUGGUCUUCGUCGCGGGUCGUCCCCGGAGCUGGGCGCCCGGAGCCACGUACUUCCCGUUCCUGGUGAUGGCGGGCUCCACAAA